CAAGACAGCCAUAUCACAUUGACAGCAUAGGUUCUUGUCUGAUCACUGAAGUUAGGUAACAUUGAGCCUAGGUAGUACUUAGCUGGGUAACCACUUGGGAAGCCUAGGUGCUGUAAGCA
rnacentral:rRNA from 1 species